rnacentral:misc_RNA from 1 species
CAGGCCAUUUAUGCGCUUCCUGACGAAAAGCCCAUAAUUGAUCCCCAUUUUUACGCUCCAGGGUCUUUGAUUUGCCUGCAGCUGCCCUUGUCCCUGCUGGUCACCAACUGAUCAAUUCAAGUAACCAUCCGGGUAAUUAAUUGAAGUGCUGAGCAAAUAUGGCAGAAUUAAGUCUGGGUGUUCUUAUUGAUAUCGUGGACGAGGAGUGGAUGAGAGACACUUUACCUGAUGACGAUCUCCCUCUACCGCCAGUGCUGGUUGUUCGGACUGAUGAUGCUGAAGAUUCAAAUCAAGAGACUCAACAAGUUAAUGGAGACACUUGGCAUGACCUUGCACUAGGCAAUCAGUGAACCAUUCUGGUUGCGAGGGAACUUGGUAUUAUGCUGUGGAAGCAGUACAAA